UACGUAGGGCGCAAGCGUUUGUCCGGAAUUAUUGGGCGUAAAGGGCUCGUAGGCGGUCUGUCGCGUCGGGAGUGAAAACUCAGGGCUUAACCCUGAGCCUGCUUCCGAUACGGGCAGACUAGAGGUAUGCAGGGGAGAACGGAAUUCCUGGUGUAGCGGUGAAAUGCGCAGAUAUCAGGAGGAACACCGGUGGCGAAGGCGGUUCUCUGGGCAUUACCUGACGCUGAGGAGCGAAAGUGUGGGGAGCGAACAGG
rnacentral:rRNA from 1 species